CAGAGGACCUUCCCCACCCAGAGACUGAACCCGUGUCUCUUACCGCUCUUGCACUGGCAGGUGGGUUCUUUACCACUAGCGCCACCUGGGAAGCCCUCCUACGACUUUGUCGGGUAACAGUGGGCGUUUUCUAAAGAUGGCGAAACAGGGAGUCAAGUUAUCGGCGUAUCGUCCCGGGUCGUGUCGGUCAUCCCCAGAGAGGUGGCCGUGGCGGCUCCCUGGGCAGCAGGCCGGCCUGACCGGUGAUGCUAAGCCUAGGCCCCAGGCCCGCUGAGCACUCUUACCAGCCAGAGCCCUAGGACUCUGCACCCACACUCUGCACCCCCAAAGGAGCACUGGUAUUUUUGUUGUAAAAAAUUUAAAAACACCUGUCAAAGUCUUUGGACAUUGGCAAUGCAUGUCUUAAUCAUUUAAUGUAGGCUAUUUCUUGGUAAGCCUGAACCUCAGCAGAAACUAUUGUGAAGUGAGAAAACAUUUACCUACCACUUAUUUUCAAAUAUAAUGCAUUUUAUGAAAAGUAAAUUUAAUUAUCGAUUCAGUUGGCACAAUGUUAGGAUUUACAGAUGCAGUCACUUUGGUUAAUUUCAGUUUUUGCAGUUUUAUUUUGUAUUUUGGAACCUAGGUUCCCUUGCAGGCCUCUGAAAGUCUCCUUGACCCCGGGCCUUCUGUUUUAGAAGCUGGUGGGGCUGGUGAGUGCAGAGGUAGCCCUGAAGGACGUGCCGUGAGGGCUUGUGGCACGCAGACCCUCAGGGCACGCUGUGUGCAGCUGUGGCCUGACCUCGUGCAUGAAGCUGAGCCAGCCUGGAGCCCCACAGGCCUGGUCCCGCGUCCCCAGCUGCCUCUUUCUGAAGCCUGCCCUGUGGAAGUUCCUCUAGUUUUGUGAGUGGCCCCAGCAGGUUGACCUCCCAUUCCAGGAUCCCAUUUGCUCCCCCUGGUACCCCUGAGGAGGCAGGACCUACGUCCCCUUUCUGUAGAUAGUGAAGCCAGGACCCAGGGAGGGUCAGACUCCAUGGACAUGAGUUUGAGCAGACUCCGGGAGAUAGUAAAGGACAGGGAAGCCUGGCGUGCUGCAGCCCAUGGGGUUUCAAAGAGCUGUGCAUGACUUAGCGACUGAACAACAAUAACAGAGAGGGUAGGUAACUUGCCCAAAGCCACACAGCUCUAGGGAAUCGGGUGUGCCUGGGACCCCUGUUCUUUCCGGCACCCUGCCCCCAGCCUGCACAGCCCCGGUGGGCAGCGUCUUCAAUGGCCUGUGGAGGUAAACUGCAGACGUUAUGUCUGUUACACAGAGGCAGGAAUCUCUCACGUCGACUUUUUACUAACUUUGCUAUUGCAUUUACUUUGACAAGUGCUUAAGAUUUGUCUUUUAAGAGCAGCUACUUAACCUUAUCAUCCCUGCAGACUUUACCCAGUUAGUCUAAGAACACUGCAAAAGCAUAUAUUUUGAGUUCUGUUUCUCAUUUUCUCCUCAGAGUUGAAAAGAACCAUUUUGCAUGAAUUUAGUUGUGCUGUCUGGCGAUGCAGUGAGCACUCUGGCCUGUCAGCUGGCCUGGAGCUGAUGCCCCAGCCCUCCCGAGUCCCCUGAGCCCAGGUCUCUCCACUGCCACCCAGCUCCUUACCACGUGUCACCACAAGGCCUUGCCCUCUCAAGACCACGUCAUCCCGAGUCACCCCAUUUCCUCGUGCUGGCUAUGGCCCCUGGGGGGCCCAGAAUGUGCCCCAGGGUUGGCGUGACUGGGGAGAGGGUAGAAUGGGUCCCGCAGAGCCAGCCACAGGGGCCAGGACACCCAGCCCCACAUGCAGCGGAGACAGAGGCCUCCGUGUCUGGGUCUGGGAGGGGCGAUGGGCCCACAGGGCUGGAGAGGCAGCCCAGGACGGAGGAGAGCCUGCUGGGCUGGACUUGGACCUGGAACAGCCUGAGGGUCCUGGCCCAGUCAUGUCAGGAAAUCCUGGCUCACGGAUGCCUCAGGGGACACGGUGGGGCAUCCAUAGCUGGGCGGUCACAAGCGUCUGUCCCCUCUGCUGGGUGGUCGUGGGUGUCCGUCCCUCUCCCAGGUGCCCGUCCCCUCUCCCAGGCGCCCGUCCCUCUCCUGGGCGUCCGUCCUUCUCCCGGGCACCCAUCCCCUCUCCCAGGCACCUGUCCCCUCUCCCAUCCCCUCUCCCGGGCGUCCGUCCCUCUCCCGGGCGCCCGUCCCCUCUCCAAGGCGCCCGUCCACUCUCCUGUCCCCUCUCCUGGGCAUCUGUCCCCUCUCCCGUCCCUCUCCCGGGUGUCUGUCCCCUCUCCCGGCCCCCGGCCCCUCUCCCAGGCGCCCGUCCCUCUCCCGGGCGCCCGUCGCCUCUCCCAGGCGCCCGUCCCCUCUUCCAUCCCCUCUCCUGGACGCCCGUCCCUCUCCCGGGCGCCCGUCCCCUCUCCCAGGCGCCCGUCCCCUCUCACGUCCCCUCUCCUGGGCAUCUGUCCCCUCUCCCAUCCCUCUCCUGGGCAUCUGUCCCCUCUCCCAUUCCCUCUCCCAGGCCCCCGUCUGUCUCCCGAGCGUCCGUCCCCUCUCCCGGGCAUCUGUCCCCUCUCCCAGGCAUCCGUCCAUCUCCCGGGUGCCUGUCUCCUCUCCCAGGUGGUCCUGGGCAUCUGUCCCUCCCCCAGGCGGCCAUGGCCAUCCGUCCCCUCUCCUGCUCACAGGAGCCCCUACUCCUGGCUCUCCCUGGCCAGUGAGCGGUCACCCCCCACUGGCCCUGAUUGUCACCCUUGGUCUGGGCACCCCAUGCCACCCCCAGUGCCGUUGCACGUGGUCCUCAAAGGGCAAAUGCCACUGGGCCAGGUGUUGGGGCCAAAGCACUUUGGCCACAAAUGCUUGGCUGCCCAGCCCCGCGGACCAUGCUUCUGGGUGGAUUAUGCCCGGGGGGUGUUUAUUUGCCCGAGCGGGACAGGGGUGGGGGGCCUUGGAGGGCCCCGGGCCCCUGGGCACAGCCUGUGCACCCCCCGGCCCCGGCUGUCUCCAGGCCCUCAUAAAUAGCCCUGGCUUCGCAGGGAGGGUUCACGGGUGUGGCUGAGGCAGAGGACACAGGAAGGGGAGACUUGAAACGACGAGCUCAAGCCUCAGGAACCGAAGUCCUGGUGUGGCCGUCACCGUGGGAGCAGGGCGCCAGGGAGGGCGGAACAGAGCCCGGUGUCUGAGCCAGGAGGGCCGUGGCCUCUGCCUGCCUUGCCCGCCUUGCGUCGGGAGGUGCCCGCUGCUGCCCUGAGCCGGCCGGCCGGGCCCCGAGCAGAGCCUGAGCGAGACCCGGUCCAGAGAGAAGCAGGAGGACCCCCUCCCCACCCCGCCGUCCACGGCCCACUUCACGGCCCAGGCUCUCCUUUCCCUCCAACCCAGAGGGAAGGGACCCUUUCCUCCUUUUCCCUGUUCGCCUGUGUUUUCAUUGAGGUGUGAUUUACAUUCAGUGAGACGCACAUUCGUUAAGUGUCCAUCUGCUGAGCUGUUAAGACAGAGCGGUGCUUGGUGACAUCGCCCCAGUGCAGACCCAGGACGAUUCCCUCGGCCCGUCCAUGUCCCCGCCGUCAGCGCCUCUGCCGUGGGUUCACUGCUGUGCGCUUGUUGCCAUGGACUCCACGAGCCAGACUGCGCAGCGGGCCCGGAUGCGUCUGGCCUCCUCCACUCAGCGAGCGGUUUCCGAGCCUCAUCCGCACCGAGGGGCGUGCUUUGCUAGUUCCCAUUCCUGCCGUGGGGAUGGACUCAGUUGUUUGUGGGGCAGCUCCUGAUGCUUUUCCUGCCUGGGGAGUCACACCCACCCACAUUCAGAGGCUCUCAGGGUCUGGGACUGAAGACGAGCUGAAAGUCUUUGUGGGGGCUUCUCGCCUUUGUGCCCAGAUGGCUCCCUGUCUGUGGCCGUGGACCCUUCUCUUCUCUCCUGGGGCAGAAGGUUCAGGCCAAGGCUACAAGAGGGGGUCCAACCGGGGGUCCAAGCUCUGGCUCAGCCCCGGGUACUGGAGGGGCCCCAGCCUGUGCUCUGGGCUCAAAGGGGAGCCUCCCACUGGACUGAUGGACGGAGCGGGUGGGUGGGCAGGUCUGCUGUCAGCCACGGGCGGCUGCUGCAGGGGGCGGCCCGGUGGGAAGGACCCUCGGAGGGACUCCUCCCACGAGAGCGAGCCCGCUGCGCUGACCGCGGACCCAGGGGAGGCAAAGAGGGCCGGGCGUGUGUUGGUCCGCUGGGCCUGCGUCACACGGUGCCAGCAGCGGGGCGGCCGGAGUGGACUGCCGUCUCGCGCGGGGGCUGAGCGCUGGCCUGCGGGGCGGGGCCGGACCCCCUCGCCUGCCCUGCCCCUCCCAGCCCCCCGUGUCCCCGGCAGCCUGGUGCCCCCGGCUGGCAGCUCCUCACUUGGUCUCUUCCUCCGUGCUCAGGGCCGCCUCCUCCCUGCGGUCUUCGUAUCAGGCUCCAACAUGUGUCUGUGUCCAGGGUCUCCCUCUCCUGACCCGGGUGCCCUGCUCCAGGGUCACGACCACUCACGCCUGCAGGGGCCCUGUUUCCAAACGAGGUCACGCUCUGAGACGACGGAGGUUAGCGUUUUGGCCGUCUUCUGGAUGACAUGUUCAGCCCCUAACAUCCCGCCUGCCUCGUGCCUCGGGAUGAGGCAGGGUGAUGCCAGGUCGGUCGUCGCAGUGGCCUGCAAGGCCCGCGAUGGUGGCACGUGUACCUUCUUGACGGACUCCCUCCUCUCGCCUCCGUUUCCUCGUCAGAAUCGGUCUCCGGGUUCUUCUCCAGGUGUCAGUCCCGUUUUCCUUCUGAGUCUCUUUGCCCAGACGGAAGGCACUGUUGCAGGUGGGAUCUGCCUCCUGCGUGAGUUUAGGGGACUCUCCCUGAAGACAGGAGCUCCCGUGCCAUCAGCCUGGGAGCAAGAUCUUGAAGAUCAGAAUAAAGUUCUCUGAGAACUGA